AACGAACGCUGGCGGCAGGCCUAACACAUGCAAGUCGAGCGAGCAUUUCGGUGCUAGCGGCGGACGGGUGAGUAACGCGUGGGAACGUGCCCUUUUCUGCGGAAUAGUCCUGGGAAACUGGGGGUAAUACCGCAUACGCCCUUUUGGGGAAAGAUUUAUCGGAGAAGGAUCGGCCCGCGUUGGAUUAGGUAGUUGGUGGGGUAAUGGCCCACCAAGCCGACGAUCCAUAGCUGGUUUGAGAGGAUGAUCAGCCACACUGGGACUGAGACACGGCCCAGACUCCUACGGGAGGCAGCAGUGGGGAAUCUUAAACAAUGGGGGCAACCCUGAUCUAGCCAUGCCGCGUGAGUGAUGAAGGCCUUAGGGUUGUAAAGCUCUUUCAGCUGGGAAGAUAAUGACGGUACCAGCAGAAGAAGCCCCGGCUAACUCCGUG
rnacentral:rRNA from 1 species